CCCACAUUCUGCACCACACAUCCAAAUUAUGAGUAUAUAUUAAGAUAUUCAGUAAAAGGAUGGUGCUUAGUGACUAACGGGAAGUCCAACAGCAACGCUCAGCAAUGCAAUUUUGUUCAUCCUGCUACGUAGGUUGACCUUGCCUCUGUAAGUAAACUUUCUGUCCUCCCUUGUUCCAAAUGCAGAACCUAGAACAGAGGAAUGUCAGUUGGAAAUUUCUCAUUGGCUGAUAAAAGGAAUAUCGAAGAUAACCAUGUCUUUAACCUGAGAGCUCUCCAUUGAUAAAGACAUGCACGGCAUGGCCACUUGAUUGAACAAUUAGAGUAGGCAUUUCUCCUCCGCGCAGGAAAGAUUCGGAUGCAUCAAUGUCGACACUAAGGAAUAUUUGAAACAUGUGAACAAUUUGAAUGGUUUUUGAAUGAUAAGUUCCUAAAAUGGCUCGUGUCAAACUCACCUAGUUAUGUACCACAGGUAGUCACUGAUAUCUCUUGUUACAUUUAUCUGCUCCAGGAGACCAGAAGUUGCUAGUGUCGAGCCGUCACUUACAGAGGAAACAUCCUCAUCGUAACUUUCCCAGGACGGAAUUUCAGUGUUUGUUGGCAGCAUUUCCAUUUGAGAUGUUUGGACCCCAACCUGGAAACAAGAUCACAAGUUAGCAUUUUGUGUUACUCUGGAUUCCAUUAGGUCCUUACUGAGUUUUCAUACCUUUGCAGUGUUAAACACAACGUUUCUGCAAUCCGGAAGAAUGCUAAUGGACCAAGGAGGCAAGUUGAAAUGCACGUUGUUGAACAUCACUUUCGUAGCAGAUUUCGUGUCGUAGUUGGCAAGAAAAGCUGCACAAUCUCCUCCUGGUUUCGUAGAG
rnacentral:lncRNA from 1 species